GAAAAAUCAAGUCCUCUAAUUCUUCAUUAUUUUUGGUGGUUAUUAAAAAAAAAUGAAUACUAGAAUAAGAGGAAUAUGACUGAUAAGAGGAAUAUUACCCUAUGGCAGUCAUAUUCCUAUUUGCUAUUGACAAACAGCAUCAACAGAUAUAAUUGUUAGCCAACUUACCAGUCACAUGCCUAUAAACAAUUAUAACUAGUUUACAUAUAAAGUUUGUUACAUGAAUAAGCAAUCAUAUAUGGAUGAUACAUGAUUGCACGGAUAAAUAGUAGCUGAAAAGGAAUGAAACACUCUUGUGAGUGUUUUCAAUGUCCCAUUAACCAUCUCUUACAUGUUAACCAUCUCUUACACCCCCACCAAGGAAUCACAAAAAUAAUAUAAUGUUUCAGGGAUCUGUAUCAUAUUUAAGCAAUGCAAAUUAUGUAUCCAUAUAACAUGGCAAAGAAAAAUAUAACUUUCAUUAGUAGAUAUUGAAGAAGGUAGAUAGCAAAACAUAUCUCUGGCAUGCAGAAAGAAACAAAGCAGUACUGUAACAAGUUCAAAUAUUUGUUUCUAAAAAAUAUAUUGAAAUGUAUAAAAAAAAAUUGGAAGAUGAAAUUUGUAAGAUGGUACAACUAAUCUGUUGUGUUUGUUUCCCAACAAUUUUAGAACCUUAUCAUCCUAAUUCAUCUACAAACAGAACAGAGAAAGAAAUGGGACUGCAUACCUUCUCCUUGCACUGGAUAUU
rnacentral:misc_RNA from 1 species